UGGACAAAGUCCUCUCUUUACUCUGGUGAGC
rnacentral:piRNA from 1 species